CAUCAGUCGAGGAAGACAUAUCCUCAGCUGUGUUUUGGAAAACAGACGUUGGUUGCAUAGCCACAAGGAGCCUCACUUUGCUGUGUUCUAAACAACCACUUUUAGUGGCGGCCCAUGAGAAGCAGCCAUGAGCGUGCCCGACUACAUGCAGUGUGCUGAGGACCACCAGACGGUGUUGGUGGUGGUGCAGCCGGUCGGCAUCGUGCCGGAGGAGCAGUUCUUCCGCAUCUACAAACGCAUCGCCAGCGUCA